ACACUUAAAUAGAUUUCAAACCACAAUCAACGAGUUAUUCGGUAAAUCAAAGUGUUAUUAAACCCGUCGUUAAUAUGUUGUUUUACAAUUAAUCCGUAAAUUAUUCCGUAGUGGAUUCAAGAAGUUCGCAAAGUUGACGCGGACUGUUAUAAGAUUUUCGUCAAGCCCUUUUCGUGGUGUUCGCAAGCAGAUGUGCUUCAUCAAGCCCGUUUAGUAGUGAUGACGAGAGGCAGGAUUGAUGUAAAGGAAUUCUUAGAUGUCCGGUCUAUUGUGAGAAAUUGGUCUAUCGGUGAUGAACAAUACCUCAUUAUCCUCGAGUAUUUCUUUGGAUAUCUUAUUUGAGGAACGGAAGUGAAAUCCUAGUAUUUAAAUGCGGUCCUUUCCAACACAUCGCUCUGAAGGAAGAGAGGUCCAAGUUGACGUGUUCUUCUGUCUGCAUCAUCUGAAUUCCGAAAUAGUUUGGGAAAAUAAGCGGAGUCUGAAGAGUGAAACUGUGCUUUGAGAAGGAAUUCGUUAAAAAUUCUAGAAGGAGUCCAAAGAAUUAUCGUAUUCAUACCUAUAAUGAAUGUUCAUUAUAAUUGGAUUGUAUUAUUGUUAUCGACAAGUGUUCCAUAGAA